AGGACGAACGCUGGCGGCGUGCUUAACACAUGCAAGUCGAACGAGAAUCUACUGAAGGAGGAUUCGUCCAACGGAAGUAGAGGAAAGUGGCGGACGGGUGAGUAACGCGUGAGGAACCUGCCUUGAAGAGGGGGACAACAGUUGGAAACGACUGCUAAUACCGCAUGAAGCAUAGGGGUCGCAUGAUCUUUAUGCCAAAGAUUUAUCGCUUCAAGAUGGCCUCGCGUCUGAUUAGCUGGUUGGCGGGGUAACGGCCCACCAAGGCGACGAUCAGUAGCCGGACUGAGAGGUUGAACGGCCACAUUGGGACUGAGAUACGGCCCAGACUCCUACGGGAGGCAGCAGUGGGGAAUAUUGGGCAAUGGGCGCAAGCCUGACCCAGCAACGCCGCGUGAAGGAAGAAGGCUUUCGGGUUGUAAACUUCUUUUAAGAGGGAAGAGCAGAAGACGGUACCUCUAGAAUAAGCCACGGCUAACUACGUG
rnacentral:rRNA from 1 species